UGAUACCUUUGCAUUUUUACAAGGCCAUCUGAAUCAACAAGCUGCGCUUAUAAGGCCGUUUCAAUUUUCGAUUUUUCCAUAUAAACUUUGUUUCUGUGACAUUUCAGGAGUCAGUACCUUAUUUGGCUCCAUCUACCGAUUUCGAUCGCAGUCGAUUGAGACUUUUUAGACUUUUUAUUUUUAGGUUAAGUKCUUAAAUCAAUCAAUGAAUCAUCAAUUAAAACAUGAAUGCUAUAAAAUAUCCAAGAUCCGAGCUUAUUUUAGGUACAUUCUGGACUAGCAAAAUACUAAUAAAUUAGAAUUGCAAAAAAACAUGAAAUCAUAACACAAGGUAAUUUCUACCACUUCCAUUAAUUCAGAACGUAAGCCGUUAGAAACGCCUGCACCGUGUCUCCAAACUCCAGACUCAUUUGACAAAAAUUACAUAAUUUCAAGUCUAUUUCGAUUUGAUUAUGAUCGACAAAGCGAUUUAAAAGUAGGUGAUACUCAUGAUUUUGAUUUAAAAAAUGUUUCAGAUGCAAUAAGUUCGGAAGAAAAAUUUGUCUUACUAGAUAAGAUUCAAAAUUAAAAAAAAAAGUUACAGGAAGCAAAUGUAAGAUUUCAAAUGUUGAAUAAGUUGUACGAAAAUAAACUUGAAAAACUAAAGAAAAUGCAGGAAAACAUUGUGAAGUGAAAAUUUAGUCAGACGCGAAGGACUUAGAACCAAGGGCUGUGUUUUUUCUUGAUCGAAUUUAUAAUUGUUCCCUAAAAAAACAAGAUUGCCUGAAUUGAACUGUACGUCAUUUUAUUGCCUGGAGSUACAUUUCUCCAAAAGGUUAUGAAUUUGCGAGAAGAAGACAAUGUUUAAAAGCUCCAUCCAAAUCCAAAGCAACUUUAAACAGAUAUACAUAUGGGAAAUUCACAAGGGAUUUUCUCAAAACAGAAAAAUAAUAGAGAACUAAUUAAAAGAGAAUAAAAUCAAUCUUUGUGUAAAGUGAAGGUGGCAAUUUUGAAGGGAAGAUGAUGACGCGUGCGGCGCACAGGCCAGCGCCCUGCGACAGCGGCAGUGUGUCCGUAUCACUCUGACUUUGUUAACGAUAAUUACCAUUUUUCAAUAAAUUUAGUUUUGGGGAAA